rnacentral:rRNA from 1 species
CCUACGGGAGGCAGCAGUGGGGAAUAUUGGGCAAUGGGCGCAAGCCUGACCCAGCAACGCCGCGUGAAGGAAGAAGGCUUUCGGGUUGUAAACCUCUUUCAUCAGGGACGAAGCAAGUGACGGUACCUGACGAAUAAGCCCCGGCUAACUACGUGCCAGCAGCCGCGGUAAUACGUAGGGGGCAAGCGUUAUCCGGAUUUACUGGGUGUAAAGGGCGUGUAGGCGGGAAUGCAAGUCAGAUGUGAAAAGCAGGGGCUCAACCCCUGGACUGCUUUUGAAACUGUACUACUGGAGUGCAGGAGAGGCAAGCGGAAUUCCGAGUGUAGCGGUGAAAUGCGUAGAUAUUAGGAGGAACACCAGUGGCGAAGGCGGAUUACUGGACUGUAACUGACGCUGAGGCGCGAAAGCGUGGGGAGCAAACAGGAUUAGAUACCCUAGUAGUC